AAAGCAGCAGUCCAGUUAGUGGUCAUUUUGUAACGUCAACCAUGAAGUGCCUGAUCAUUUUCUGCGCUGUUGUUGCUUUCGUUGCAUCUGAGAGGUGCUUCUCUGAUGCGGACUGUGACCACGUGACCUGCGACUCUGGAUACCAGGUGGAUUGCAAUCAUUUCCUAUGUACCUGCAACCCCUCACAAUCUAACAGGUGCACAAGCAAAGACCAGUGUUCCGGGUCAUGUGAUUCUGAAUGGCAUUGUAUUGACAACAGGUGCACGUGCAGAAAAGUCUAAAAUUACUGAAAAAUAAGCUGAAAGAGCAGUUGGACAAAAGCCAAACGGCCUUUCCCUAUCCCUAUAUUUUGAAAUUAAAAGCAC